GCUGGGCGCGGUGUUGCAUGCCUGUAAUCCCAGUGGCUUGGGAGGCUGAGGCAGGAGGAUCUCGAGUUCAAAGCCAGCUCAGCAACAGCUAGGUGCUAAGCAACUCAGUGAGACCCUGUCUCUA
rnacentral:sRNA from 1 species